rnacentral:rRNA from 1 species
AUUGAACGCUGGCGGCAUGCCUUACACAUGCAAGUCGAACGGUAACAGGUCUUCGGAUGCUGACGAGUGGCGAACGGGUGAGUAAUACAUCGGAACGUGCCUAGUAGUGGGGGAUAACUACUCGAAAGAGUGGCUAAUACCGCAUGAGAUCUACGGAUGAAAGCAGGGGAUCGCAAGACCUUGUGCUACUAGAGCGGCCGAUGGCAGAUUAGGUAGUUGGUGGGAUAAAAGCUUACCAAGCCGACGAUCUGUAGCUGGGCUGAGAGGACGAUCAGCCACACUGGGACUGCGACACGGCCCAGACUCCUACGGGAGGCAGCAGUGGGGAAUUUUGGACAAUGGGCGCAAGCCUGAUCCAGCAAUGCCGCGUGCAGGAUGAAGGCCUUCGGGUUGUAAACUGCUUUUGUACGGAACGAAAAGCCCUGGGUUAAUACCCUGGGGUCGUGACGGUACCGUAAGAAUAAGCACCGGCUAACUACGUGCCAGCCGCCGCAGUAA